GUGGGGAAUAUUGGACAAUGGGCGAAAGCCUGAUCCAGCCAUGCCGCGUGUGUGAAGAAGGUCUUCGGAUUGUAAAGCACUUUAAGUUGGGAGGAAGGGUAGUAACCUAAUACGUUGCUACUUUGACGUUACCGACAGAAUAAGCACCGGCUAACUUCGUGCCAGCAGCCGCGGUAAUACGAAGGGUGCAAGCGUUAAUCGGAAUUACUGGGCGUAAAGCGCGCGUAGGUGGUUCAGUAAGUUGGAGGUGAAAUCCCCGGGCUCAACCUGGGAACUGCCUCCAAAACUGCAUGACUAGAGUACGGUAGAGGGUAGUGGAAUUUCCUGCGUAGCGGUGAAAUGCGUAGAUAUAGGAAGGAACACCAGUGGCGAAGGCGACUACCUGGACUGAUACUGACACUGAGGUGCGAAAGCGUGGGGAGCAAACAGGAUUAGAAACCCGAGUAGUCC
rnacentral:rRNA from 1 species